AAUUUGAAGGAGCUUGACCAAAAUUCUUCUUCCCCAGUCCAGGCAUUCCAACAGUUGAUAACAUCUAGAUCUGCCAAUCCUUCGUAUUUUUGUUCUUCUGUUUUUCACAUGACAUCUUCAAAACCCACUAUGAGCUUCAUUAUGAGUUAAGAAAUGGUGAGUUUUGAUGAUGUCAUGCCUAAAAUAGGAUUAAUGAAAGUAUUAGUAAAAAGGUGUUCAAAUCUGGAGGUUAUGUUAAGCUGGUGGUAUGCUUUGACUGGGAAAGAUGACUUAGGUCAAAAUAAAUAUGUCCAGAUCUGGCACAAUCUUGUGUUUGCUAAUGGUGGUCCAUAUCUUUUUGGGACAUUUCUAAUUUGAAGGCCGUUGAUCAGGGCAAAACAAGUUGAAGAUGAAAAUGUCAGGCUUACCAUUGAACAUGAAAUGGAAAAUCUAUCAAUUUAGGACUUUCUUUUAGCUACCGGCCCAAACAAAAGAGAUUUGCCUCUUGAUCGAUCGAUUAAUUGGAUCGAAGUACGAAGGGGCUGAUUGAAAUCUGAGAUCAGCCCAAGACUAAGGCUGAGCAACUAGCUGCUGCAGGAUUGGACGUCUAUCUAUCUCACCACACUCUCCUACUCCUAUAAAGGCCGGUGGAAGGAAUGCUCUGCUCAUAUUUCUUAAGGCUCGUUACUGCAGCGCUCAUUAACCCCUUGUGCUUCUUCCAUUAAAAAAAAAGGUAGUUACUUCAGCUACCAGAGUUGGACCUUAUUCACACUUGUAAGAUAUACUAUCAUUGCUCUUGAAGGUAGCUGUAUCAGGGGAAUCUUAGUAGUCUGAACUUUUCCUUGUUGGUGAGGGUUUAAUUUUCAACCUUGUAACUCUCUCUGUUCCCCUUCCCGCUGUGGUUUGACAUAAUUAGUUUUCUGGUGUUUUGAGAAGUGUCUACAAAUUGUUUUGAUGUUUUAACCAAGCAUGGAUAAAUAGCUUCAACAACAACAUACCCUGUGAAAUCCCACUAAGUGGGGUCAGCGGAGGGUAGAAUGUACAGAGACCUUACUACUACCUCGUGGAGGUAUAUCUGGUUGUCACCAAAGGGUGUUCCUGCUGUUAUUGGUGUUCAAAGUGCCAUAUUCAUUUAGGGCCUUUGAAUAUGGCUCAUUUUUCUUGUUGUCUGAUCCCAUUUGGGGCUCUAGCAUGAAUAUUUUUAGUGGUAUUGAGAAACAUAGUUGAUAAUGAAUUAGAUACUGACGUUAACUUGUGUUGGUCUUCACAAGCAACAUUUUGUAAAUCUGCAGAUGGUGACUUCUCGUAUUGUACUUAAUGGUUCGUUUUAGUGUAAGUGUAGGUUCAUGCCUCAAAUUCGUUCAUCGUUCAUCUAUAGUGCAUUUUGAUACAGAUUGUUGUAUGGCGUCGCGAUUUGCAUCAUAUUUUGAAUGCUUUGCUAUUUAGCAGGCAGUGAUCCACUUCUG